AUACUUACCAGGCUGGGGCGAUGCCAUGAACAUGAAGAUGUUUUCCCAGGACAAAGCUUAUCCAUUGCACUCAGGAUGUGCCGACCCCUGCGAUUUCCCCAAACUCGAGGAAACUCCACCGACGGCAUGAUCAGUGGUAGUGGGCAACUACAUUCACUCUCUU
rnacentral:snRNA from 11 species